CUGGCGGCAUGCUUANNCAUGCAAGUCGAACGGUAACAGGAGAGAGCUUGCUCUCUUGCUGACGAGUGGCGGACGGGUGAGUAAUACAUGGGAAUCUGCCCUGAGGUGGGGGAUAACCCGGGGAAACUCGGGCUAAUACCGCAUGAUCUCUUCGGAGCAAAGUGGGGGACCUUCGGGCCUCACGCCUUGGGAUGAGCCCGCGUCUGAUUAGGUAGUUGGUGGGGUAAUGGCCUACCAAGGCAACGAUCAGUAGCUGGUUUGAGAGGAUGAUCAGCCACACUGGGACUGAGACACGGCCCAGACUCCUACGGGAGGCAGCAGUGAGGAAUCUUGGACAAUGGGGGCAACCCUGAUCCAGCCAUGCCGCGUGAACGAUGAAGGCCUUAGGGUUGUAAAGUUCUUUCACCGGAGAAGAUAAUGACGGUAUCCGGAGAAGAAACCCCGGCUAACUCCGUGCCAGCAGCCGCGGUAAUACGGAGGGGGUUAGCGUUGUUCGGAAUUACUGGGCGUAAAGCGCACGUAGGCGGANCCAUUAAGUCANGGGGUGAAAAUCCCGGGGCUCAACCCCGGAACUGCCUUUGAUACUGGUGGGNNNGGGANUUCGAGAGAGGUGAGUGGAAUUCCNAGUGUANAGGUGAAAUUCNUANAUAUUCNNAGGAACANCAGUGGCGAANNGGCUCACUGNNUCGAUACUGACNCUNNNNGCNAAANCGUGGGAGCAAACNNNUUAGAUACCCUGGUAGUCCACNCCGUAAAC
rnacentral:rRNA from 1 species